AAGCACUUAGGGGAGAAUAUCCCUCUGGACUCUUAGGAAGAAUAUCUGUAUCCGCGCUGGCUGGGACCUCGUGGGACAGCGGAAGACGGAACUGACUUCCUGAUGUGGCAGCCAUGGCAUUGUGCAGCCUCCUUCAGCCAGAGCGAGUCAAGCCACACCGUGGAACUGGGACCCAGGCAGCUUGACCACUAGGGUCUUAAGUUGUAGUUUGACAGCAGUGAUGGAUGACGUGGGACUCCAUAGCUGGGCAAUGCUGCUGUUGCUUUUAACAACAACAAAAAAAAACAAGCCUCACUGUUUCCUGUCCCUGAGAAGACAUUCCAGUGCUUUAUAUGUGUUUGAAAAAACAAAGGACGUGUGCCUGAGAUAAACCCAGGCUUGUGGCCAAGAUUGAUUGCUGGAGUCAAGGACUUGCACCAGAUAGCCCUUUGGUUCUAUAAACAAGAAUCCCGGGGAUGCCAGGAUACCCCUCCCCCACUCUUGUCGGGUUUUUUCCCUUUUAGUUGACCUGCCUUUAAAAAUAUACAGGACAGAAGAAGGAGGGUGAACACCCAGCUGCGAAGCCCACUGACAUCUUCUUGAUUUUUUUAUUUUAUUUUGUUCACAUUCCACGGUACAUCCCUAAGAGGUGGUCUCUCUUAUUUAUGUCACCACGAGGCUGUUAUUACAGUUAUGGAAAGCAGGAAUAAUUCUUCGGCAUUUGAUGUCCUAUCUGUGUUUAGCUUUUCCAAUAGUUUCAAACGUUCAUUUGUAUUGCUAGUUUGAAUCAGGAUUGAGCAAGACUUUUACUGUAGACUGCAUUUUGAGGUGUCACUUAAACGUCUACAUCAUCCUGCCUCUUUUAUACUAUUGGCCAGUCAUCUAAUCAGCCACUUAUAGAGUGUUCUGUGUUUCAGAUUUGGUUAAUUGCUUCUUUAUUGUAUCAUUUAGUGCCCUCUCCCCCAUUGUUAGUGUUAGCACUUGUUUGUAUUUUCAAGUCUCCUAAAGUAUGUGUCCUUAGGAUUUAAGCCCCCAAAUACCCUGGUGACAGGGAAGAAACUUACCAUACAUAGGGCAAUACAGUCAGGGAGGAAAGGAAACCAGCUUGCUGCUCUAGAGAGACCUCAGAACCAUACUGGGACAGCCUUCAACAUAUAAAUGGUACCUGAUUUGGGGGAGUGGGCAAGAUUGUCCAAGGGAAGUGUGCCCCAGGUUAGAUAGAGCAUGGUGGGAAGUUAACACUUAAUAUGUGGUCACUGGCAGGAGACUGCAAAGAAGACUAGGAAACUGUGGCCUUGAAGAGGGAAGUCCAAGACACAGGAGCAGAGAUGUUUGAAGGAGAGGGCCGUGUUUAGCAUGGGCCACGCUUAUAAAGCAUAUGCAAAUGACAUGCAAAUGCGAACAUAUAAAGCAGGUAACUUAACAUUCAGUAUGAUCCCAAGGAAUUGACUCCAAAGGUGCUUUAUGGAAGGCAUACAUGGUAUGUGACUUAUUAGGGGAAAGAAAAGGAAAGAUGGUUGGUGUUGGGAAAAAAAAUCAGUGACAUUUAUGUCACUUUCCUGUAAGGAAGAGGGGGCAAGAAGUGUGUGAGAGCCAGAAGACAGGGUGACAGGCUUCAAAAUGCCAUUUAGACUUGAAACAAUUCCAAUCGUGAACUUAACAACCAUGGUUACCGUCACUGACCUGCACAAGGCUGGCCCUGUCAACAAUCUGUCACGGGUGGGGGAGGGGCUCAUGAGACCCUAUCCCUUGCUGCUGAACUAUUGGCUGCUGAUAGAUUCUGGGAGAGGGGACGUCACCGACAUCACCAGGCUCUCUUGGGCGGCUCUGUGGUCACGCAGAUGGCCCUUGUUUAAACUACUCAGUGGGUCAUUAAAUAAGAUGCAUAGACAUGAAUGAAGAAAGAGACAAACAGUUAUAGCUGGGACGUGUCACUGGAGUUAAAGGCCUACCUGGGAUCUAGCCUCCUCUCUUCCUGUUCUUUCUCCAGAGCAAUGGCUCCUCUGGACCACCAUCUCAACAGAAUGCGCGCACAGAGGUAGAAGAACGUUCAGUUCCACAACCUUCUGGGAGGUGCAGAUCCUCUCUGAGGACCCUCUGCUGGCCUCAGCAAGUCCCCUCAGCCAAACUGCAUUGCCACACCCAGUGACAGAUCGGCACUGCUCAGUCUGUCUUUAGUGAAAAUUCGCAGCUUUAAAUACAACAACUAUCCCUAACAUAAAAAUCUCCCUGCAAACUAUCAUUUAUACUUCUGUGAAUUUGAUUAGAUAUUUCACACAAGUGGAACCAUAAUGAUUUUAAUGACUUUUUUCCAUUUAGCAUGUGAUCGUCACAGUUCAUCCAUGUUCUAGCAUGUCAGAACUUCUGUCUUUCACGGUCACAUCCAGCCAUCUGUUGCCACUCUAUCUGUAGAAGCGCGCUGAGGGACACUUGGCAUUUUUUUCUGCCCUUUGGCUGAACUGAAUAACGCAGUCAUCUGAAUCCUCAGGUUCUUUCUGACACAUACCUAGAAGUGGAAUUGCUGAGUCUUAUGGCCGUUCUGUUUACCUUUGCUUUCAACUGGUAUCUACUACUUAGUGGAUACUUUGUGAAGCACCGUGUAACACUGGUAUCUACUACUUAGUGGAUACUUUGUGAAGUAACAGAGCUCAUCCAUUGUCUCCAUCAUUUCCCAUGAACCUCUACCGAGGUAGAUGUUACACCCACAUCUUACAGACAGCACAGGCAUUUGCAGAAACAGCACAGGCAUUUGCAGAAAGAACAACUGCUCGCCCUUUUCGAGAGGAGAAGCCCAACCACAGUUUGCCCUUCAUCUGCCUCAGAUCCCCCAGGCAAAGUUGAACAGAAUGUUGCACACAGUCAAUGGUGAAACAGUUUCACCCUUCCCUACUUUACACUCCUCUUACCUCAGAGGUAUCCCACGAGGCUCUGUAAGCUGCAGGGAAGGACAAUGGCUCUGCAGGCUCUUUACCAGAGGGGCCAGACACCAUGUUGUUGUUGUUGUGUUGGUGUUGUUGUCAGAUGCACCCUUUGACAAUGUGGUUCCCCAUGGUAAUUUCCUAUUUAGUGAUCAUUAUAAAUUUGAUUCAGUUUCUGAAAUAGUGAAUAUUUACUUUGGUUUAUCUUAGAGCAGCUUUCUGGAGUACCAGGUAAUCAAGGCAGAAUGACAUAGAAGUGAUUUUGUUUUCUUCCCUAUACAUUAAAGGGCGAGGACACCAGUUUCAGUGCAGCUUUAUACUGGCUAUAGAGGCCACUUGACCUCUUGGUGGCUCUGAAAACUUGGGAAUAUCUAUUCAUGUUUGGGAAGAAUUAGUGAUAUACAGGCUCUAGCAAGAAAGUUUGCUUUGAUAUUGUUAUUUCUAUAAAAUCUACUUUGAUUUAUUUUUGUUGUGUCUGGGUUUUUGUUGUUGUUGUUUGUUUAGGUUUACUUUAUGUUUGCAUGUACACCGUCUGUCUCCAGACACACCAGAAGAGGGCACCGGAUCCCAUUACAGAUGGCUGUAAGCCACCAUGUGGUUGCUGAGAAUUGAACUCAGGACCUCUGGAAGAGCAGUCGGUGCUCUUACCUGCUGAGCCAUCUUUCCAGCUUUGUUUUUUGAGACAGGCUCUGACUGUGUAGCUCUUGCUGGUCUAGAACUCACAGAGAUCCACCUGCCUCUGCCUCUGCCUCUGCCUCUGCCUCUACCUCUCUGCUUCUCUGCCUCUCUGCCCCUCUUCCCCUCUGGCCCUCUGGCCCUCUGCCCCUCUGCCCCUCUGCCCCUCUGCCCCUCUGCCUCCAGAGUGAAUACUAGGAUUAAAUGUGUGUGCCACCAUACCUAGCCUAUAUAAGAUAAAACUUUAGACAGAAAAAUCUUCCCAGCUACAAUCACAGGAAAGGCAGGAUCUUUCUGGCUUUGUUGUAAAGAACGAGAUGCCAUGAUUCAAAAAUUGAAUAAGUAUUUAUUGUUCCGGAAGGUACAUUGCUUUUUAUACAUAUUUCAUAAAUGAUACAGGAUUGUACACGUGUCCAACAUCUUGCUCGCCCACCCCCCGCCUCCCACACUCAGAGGAUUUGCUCAUUGCACUGUGCCAUGCCUUCUUAAGAACCCUGCACACAAACAGGAUAGAUGGCUUAAAAAUAAUCUGCACAAGGAAAAGAAACAGGGGAGAGGUUGAAGGACAGGAAGGAAGGAGGAGGCGGGCUGGGGACCGAGACAUGCAUCCUUUCUCUGGCAGGCCAGUGGCGGCUGGUGGUGGAAGCAGUGGCGUGGCUGGCCUUCAACCUCUGCAAGGCACCUAGAGUCUGGGUUUGUCAUUCAAAGGUUUUCUUUCAUAUACAAUGAUCCCCAAAGGAGGAGGAAAAAGAAACUCCUUGUCCCAUGAGGCGGGGUGAAUCAUGGGAAGGAAGCAAACCAAAACCAAACACCCAAUCAAUCGGUCGUGUGGCAAGCCCCCGUCCUCCUUGCCAUCCUGUCCCCAGAACAGUUAAAAACAGGCCACUAGGCAGAGUGCUUUGACUUCGAGCGCAGGGACCAUCUGGGAAGAUGGUAGAAAACACUCUAUCAGAGUGUAAGAGUAAUUCUCCUGUCUCUCUGUUUAAGAUAAAAAUAAACGGGGUGGAGAAGACAGGCUAAAGGAAGCCAUAGGAAGAUAUUCCUGGUAAAAAGAUAGCUGCAGCCUUUGAGAUCCGCCCUUGAUUUCCAGCAGCUGGGGUGGUGGAGUUGUGAGAGCACAUGAUGACGUGUGUGUUAGAUUAACCCAGAGUCUCUUGGUCUGAAAUAGACUCGGAGCCUGAUUUUUAGCCGAUCUGUAAACCUUACAUCCUCCUCUUUUGGUAAUAUGGAUGAGCACGGGCCUUCUGAUCCGUGGUGUGCAGGAAGUGGGGGUUAUCAAUGGGAUCAGUAUAUAAAGGAAGGAAUUUUUCCUCCUCUCAAGACUAAUUAGUAAAAAAAAAAAAAAAAAAAAAC